rnacentral:ncRNA from 2 species
CUCUUAUUAAGAGUGGCGGAGGGAAUAGGCCCGAAGAAGCCCGGCAACCAUCAGGUGAAUUGAUCUGAAAAGGUGCUACAUCCUACAGGUGAACUGGACCUGGAAGAUAAGAG